ACGAGUUAGGGUCUUCCAAGGCCCGACCUCCCAACCCUAUGUUUAUUGUACCUUGUGUUGCUUCGGCGGGACCGUCUCACGACCGCCGGAGGGCCGUAAAACGUCCUCUGGCCCGCGCCCGCCGAUGGCCCCCCACACAAAAUUCUGAAUAAAAUCAUGCCUAAUUGUCUGAGUAUAAUACACAAAAAAUUAAAAGCA
rnacentral:misc_RNA from 1 species